rnacentral:rRNA from 1 species
GGUAACACGAAAUCGUACCCCAAACCGACACAGGUGGUCAGGUAGAGAAUACCAAGGCGCUUGAGAGAACUCGGGUGAAGGAACUAGGCAAAAUGGUGCCGUAACUUCGGGAGAAGGCACGCUGACACGUAGGUGAAGUGAUUUACUCAUGGAGCUGAAGUCAGUCGAAGAUACCAGCUGGCUGCAACUGUUUAUUAAAAACACAGCACUGUGCAAACACGAAAGUGGACGUAUACGGUGUGACGCCUGCCCGGUGCCGGAAGGUUAAUUGAUGGGGUCAGCGUAAGCGAAGCUCCUGAUCGAAGCCCCGGUAAACGGCGGCCGUAACUAUAACGGUCCUAAGGUAGCGAAAUUCCUUGUCGGGUAAGUUCCGACCUGCACGAAUGGCGUAAUGAUGGCCAGGCUGUCUCCACCCGAGACUCAGUGAAAUUGAACUCGCUGUGAAGAUGCAGUGUACCCGCGGCAAGACGGAAAGACCCCGUGAACCUUUACUAUAGCUUGACACUGAACAUUGAGCCUUGAUGUGUAGGAUAGGUGGGAGGCUUUGAAGUGUGGACGCCAGUCUGCAUGGAGCCGACCUUGAAAUACCACCCUUUAAUGUUUGAUGUUCUAACGUGGACCCGUAAUCCGGGUUGCGGACAGUGUCUGGUGGGUAGUUUGACUGGGGCGGUCUCCUCCUAAAGAGUAACGGAGGAGCACGAAGGUUGGCUAAUCCUGGUCGGACAUCAGGAGGUUAGUGCAAUGGCAUAAGCCAGCUUGACUGCGAGCGUGACGGCGCGAGCAGGUGCGAAAGCAGGUCAUAGUGAUCCGGUGGUUCUGAAUGGAAGGGCCAUCGCUCAACGGAUAAAAGGUACUCCGGGGAUAACAGGCUGAUACCGCCCAAGAGUUCAUAUCGACGGCGGUGUUUGGCACCUCGAUGUCGGCUCAUCACAUCCUGGGGCUGAAGUAGGUCCCAAGGGUAUGGCUGUUCGCCAUUUAAAGUGGUACGCGAGCUGGGUUUAGAACGUCGUGAGACAGUUCGGUCCCUAUCUGCCGUGGGCGCUGGAGAACUGAGGGGGGCUGCUCCUAGUACGAGAGGACCGGAGUGGACGCAUCACUGGUGUUCGGGUUGUCAUGCCAAUGGCACUGCCCGGUAGCUAAAUGCGGAAGAGAUAAGUGCUGAAAGCAUCUAAGCACGAAACUUGCCCCGAGAUGAGUUCUCCCUGAGACUUAGAGUCUCCUGAAGGAACGUUGAAGACGACGACGUUGAUAGGCCGGGUGUGUAAGCGCAGCGAUGCGUUGAGCUAACCGGUACUAAUGAACCGUGAGGCUUAACCUUACA